GGCCACUACCUACAGGAAAAAGGGGGAGGCAAUGAGGUAGCUGAGACCUCAUGCUGCAGUGAAUGGAGAGCUGAACUGCUGCAGUUCAGGACUCAUACCCAUACCAAGAAUAGAGGCUCACAGCACAAUACAGAACAUAGAAUUUCAAACUGCUGAGUGAAAUUGCUUAUGAUUAUUCCACUUCCCAUCAUCCUGCAUCUUCAGGGACACAGUGCAAAUCCCUAUGCAGCUUGACAGUUCCUACGAAUCAAUGAGAAGAGAUCAUUGCAGAGGCUUCCUUCUUCUCCUUUUCCCCCUUUUCUUUUGUUUUAUUAUUUGUCGCAGCACCAAUUUGGUUUAAUCCAUUUCUAAUGAUGAUAAACAUAGUUCUUGGAUAGCAAAUUGUUAAGAAAUCACUCCACAUCACAAUCUGUGGCUCAAGGUUAUUGUCUUUGUCCUGUAUGGAUAGUCUUUACACACACAUUGCUCUAUUGAGUUGAAAAUAAAA